UCCUUACCGGUGUGAGGGACACGAGAGGAGAAGCUCCAGCUCUCACGUGUUACGAUGAGUUUACGACUAACUGUGAAGUUUCCUGCGGAUGAUCCGCCGUGAACAGGAGGCUUUGAGUGCAGAAUGAGGCUCAUCAUCCUGCCAACACGAUGAAAGGUCUGUGGUUCAUCUGUCCCUCGUGACUGAGAACGAGGAUUCCUGGUGACCAGGAUGUGACAAUCUGCAACGCAUGACUGUACAGGACGACACGUGGGACCUGAGGAAUGUUAAACAGAUUACAUCAAUGGUGAAGUGGAUGUGUGACUACGCACAUUAAAAAGUUUGCUCUGAAACAUGUUUAAUGAAAAUGUUUAUUGAAAGUGUACAACACAUUCAGAAACCGAUGGCACGUUUGAAGUAUUCUGAAUGUUCUGUUUGCUUCACCUGAUGGAUGGUCGAUGACAAAUGUAUUUCUAAAUAAAGUUCAUUGCAAGUAAAAAAAAGUGUGAAUUCUAUUCUUGCAUAUUAUACAAAACAAUAGUGCGAACACCAGCACGUGUUGGUCAAUCUGUGUUAAAAGAUGAUCUGUAUGAUUUCUUCUUCAAAUUCUCCAAGAAGAUCUGCUCCUCCUGGAGAUAUUCACGGUCCUGAGGGGAGGAAGAGAAAGUAAUCCAAGUUUAAAAUGUACUAAUGUAGGAGUCAGACCAGUUGGUAUCACGUUAACCUACUUGAGUUAUGAUCUGUGCUUCAGGACUCUGGUUAAUGUCUUAAAACCAUUUGAACACCAGUGACUACUCGGUCAUGUAGCAUUAAAUUGAUGCAAAAUAUAACUCUGAAAUGGCUUUUUGAAGGUUUGUCACUUAAAGAUCAAAAUGGUCACGUGACUAAACUUGACGUUGCUAGUCAUGAUGUGGCUGAAUACAAACAUGCCCCCUAAAGCCUUAAAACCCUCAGAUACACUGACGUCUCCUGUUGAAUGUGAGGCUUGAUGUGCUGUAAAUACGAAGGACGGCACUUUGCAUCACUUAACAUAUACACUUGAUAACAUGUUACGUACAGCUGUGGGUGUUUCGUUCUUCUUACUCCUGAUCUGAACGUCUUCCAGGCUCUUGCCUCACGAGAGGAAAAAGUCAAAUCUAUUGAAACGGCUUCAAUGACUAAAUUAAAUGUUUCAAGAAUAAAUCCUUGUAAUAGUCUCAUAGCAUUCCUCUGUUUUCAUGUUCCAUCCUUAAUGUUUCUGAGUAAUAUUAAAAUGCCAGGCUGAUAACCCAGUGUUGAACAUCACAUUGCUAUGGAUUGUGGGUAAUUCCCUGAGGCAAAGUCUGCAGAAAUGGGGACUAGCGUGUUAAAGUGUUCAUGAAGGGCUCAAGGUGUCUGUGAGAACCCCCUCAAACGAUGUGACAGUGGGA